GGGAAUCAGGCAAUUCUCCAUGAAGAGCAGAAGGUGGCUGUAGUAAAGGGGGGAAAAGUCAAGUUUAUGUGGUGACAAAGCUCAGCUGGGGAAAGAAUGUGAGUGCCAGGCAGAAAGCUGAGAGAGUAAGGAAAAGCUCUCCAGGCAGGGAGGCUUGGGAGAUCCUGAUGGAAACAACAAAGAGACUGAGACCCAGAGAAGAACUUAAGAGGCUGGGUAGGAAGUGGCACAGGGAAAACUGAAGUAUAGGCCGACUCUGGAAGGGGACAGACUUUAAAGUGACCUGGCCGGAGAGCCAAGUCACAGGAAGAAAUAGACCACCACAGGCCCAGAGCCAUCGUCGGGAGGAGAGCUGCUACUUCAUGCAUGGCCAUAAGAAGGACCUAGUGAUACCACUUGCAAGUUUUCUGCACAGAAAAACACCAGGAUUUGUGCAUUGCAGAAUUUGAGAGGGAUGCUGCAGAUGUCUCAACUACAGUAGUGGCUGACCUUCGAUAAGAGGACAAUGUACUGUGCCAUCUUCUCUGACUCAGUGAGCUACUGAAUCAUUUUUAUAUCCUUCAUAACCAUAUCUUAUUAAUAUACAGUAACGAAGAAUGUUAAUGACUCUACAGCAGAGUGAAUACCUGCAGGCUUGUUACUCUUAUCAGAAUAACUUAUUGUAUAGCCUACUUUACUAUAGUUCUUAGCUACUUCAUAGUAUCAUUAUAUACAUGUCAAUGUUUGUGUAAAUAAAUAUUUCUAGGCUUGUUAUGGAAAUGGCUUAUGCUAUGUAUUUGAGAGCAUGGUUUUGAUAGUGUAAGCCCACAGGCCAGUGUUCACAUUGAAUCCACUUUUUCUUUCAAUGUCCCACCACUAGAGUGGGAGUCUCUUUAGUUUCUUUUUAUCUGACGGGAAGAUAGACAAAGGAGCAGAGAAUGAAUAAAGAACUGUAUGUGCUAGGAAGACAUGAUAACUAAGACUUUGACAGUCUUUGGUGACUCAAAACUGUCCAUAUGAUAGUAUCUCUGUAUUGUGGACAUUGAAUAUAUUGUCCGGUUUCAGAGUAGCAGCCGUGUUAGUGUGUAUCCGCAAAAAGAAAAGGAGGACUUGUGGCACCUUAGAGACUAACAAAUUUAUUAGAGCAUAAGUUUUUGUGAGCUACAGUGAAUGCAUCCGAUGAAGUCAGUUGUAGCUCACAAGCUUAUGCUUGAAUAUAUUGUGUAAUUAGAUAAAUUCAUACAAUGUAAUUACACAAAUAAAGUGCUCAUAGCUGGAAAAGAUGUCACUGUAACAAUGUCAUUCUGUUCCCAUAGUUGUAGAAAAAGUUCCUCUUCAUCUCCAGAUUCAAAGGGUGUCUUGAAUUUUGAGAAUUAGGCAGGGAAAGCUACUGUAGUUUAAAUGUGAUCAAGCAAACACGUUCUCCUCUGCUGCUGCCUAAAUCCUUCACUUGUUACUGGGGGGAUUUACAUAUGAAUUAUUACAUCGACACAUUCACAGUACUGUAGAAAUACUUCAUGUCACUUUAAUCAGUUUUGAAGAUAUGAAGAGUAUUGUGUGGUCAAAAAGUGGUGGGGGAAUAAAAGGUGGUUCAGAGAUCUAUCCAUUUCAAAAAUGUUUGACAAUAUGUAUCUCUGUUCAUUAUAUCCAGAAACUUAUUUUUUCAUUGUUAAACUUUUUAGAGAAGGGUUUAUUGUGUAGACAAGAGACAUUGUUGCAGCUUUAUAAAGGUAGAGUUAAUUCAAAACAUAGACAGGAGCAACUGCUCCUAAAAUAUAUAUUUCUGUUAAAGGGAAGCUCCUGAAAACUCAGCACCAAUUGGUAACAACUAAGAGGGAGUAAAACUCUGUAGUGACCUACUCAUUAGACAACCCUGCUGGUUUUAAUGGAGUUUUAUAUGCUGUGUUUAGUCUGUGUAAAAAUACAUAAAAAUCCUAUUUGUGAAGAGAAAGGAAGAGCACCUAUAUCAGGAAGCUAUCCACCAGUUUUAACUUUCUUUCACUUUGAAGUGAUACAUUCCUUGGGUAAAAUCUUGACUCUACUGAAAACAAAGGCUAAAUUCCUAUGGACUUCCAAGGAGUCAGGCUUCUGCCCAUUCUCUUGGCAGAUGAUAGAAGACAUUUUUCCAGGAAAAAUAUCUGCAGUAUACUGUUCGCAUGAACAGAAAAACCCACCUGCAACUCUU